rnacentral:rRNA from 1 species
CAGUGGCGGACGGGUGAGUAACGCGUGGGAACCUAUCUUUCGGUACGGAAUAACGCAUGGAAACGUGUGCUAAUACCGUAUACGCCCUAAGGGGGAAAGUUUUUCGCCGAGAGGAGGGCCCGCGUUGGAUUAGGUAGUUGGUGGGGUAAUGGCCCACCAAGCCGACGAUCUAUAGCUGGUUUGAGAGGAUGAUCAGCCACACUGGGACUGAGACACGGCCCAGACUCCUACGGGAGGCAGCAGUAGGGAAUAUUGGACAAUGGGGGAAACCCUGAUCCAGCGAUGCAGCGUGAGUGACGAAGGCCUUAGGGUUGUAAAACUCUUUCAUCGGUGAGGAUAAUGACAGUAGCCGAAGAAGAAGGACCGGCUAAUUCCGUGCCAGCAGCCGCGGUAAUACGGAAGGUCCUAGCGUUGUUCGGAAUUACUGGGCGUAAAGCGCAUGUAGGCGGAACAAAAAGUUAGAAGUGAAAUCCCUGGGCUCAACCUAGGAAUUGCUUUUAAAACUUUUGUUCUGGAAUUCAGGAGAGGAAAAUGGAAUUUCCAGUGUAGAGGUGAAAUUCGUAGAUAUUGGAAGGAACACCAGUGGCGAAGGCGAUUUUCUGGACUGAUAUUGACGCUGAGAUGCGAAGGCAUGGGUAGCAAACGGGAUUAGAUACCCCGGUAGUCCAUGCAGUAAACGAUGGGUGCUAGUCGUCGGACUUUUGUUCGGUGUCGUAGCUAACGCGUUAAGCACCCCGCCUGGGGAGUACGGUCGCAAGAUUAAAACUCAAAUAAAUUGACGGGGACCCGCACAAGCAGUGGAGCAUGUGGUUUAAUUCGACGCAACGCGAAGAACCUUACCAGCGUUUGACAUGGGAAGUGCCGGUUACAGAAUGGUAACCUUCAGUUCGGCUGGCUUCCACACAGGUGCUGCAUGGCUGUCGUCAGCUCGUGUCGUGAGAUGUUGGGGUUAAGUCCCGCAACGAGCGCAACCCUUAUCGUUAGUUACUAACAGUUCGGCUG